GACGACGACGACGACGACGACGACGACGACGACGACGACGACGACGACGACGACGACGACGACGACGACGACGACGACGACGACGACGACGACGACGACGACGACGACGACGACGACGACGACGACGACGACGACGACGACGACGACGACGACGACGACGACGACGACGACGACGACGACGACGACGACGACGACGACGACGACGACGACGACGACGACGACGACGACGACGACGACGACGACGACGACGACGACG
rnacentral:lncRNA from 1 species